rfam:Candidatus Rokubacteria bacterium 13_2_20CM_70_12 13_2_20cm_scaffold_2795, whole genome shotgun sequence.
CCCGAUACGUGGCACACCCGUCGUGAGACGGGGCCGCAUCGUCACGGGUCAGGCACGGCGCCUGACGGCCGGACUGCCGAA